UAGGCUUGGCGAGCUGAACAUAAAGAAAAUAUCUGCAUCGAUAUUAGAACAAAUUGAACGAUUGAAUAGAUGCAAAUAUUCUUUGAUUCGGAUGGUGAUUGCUUAUGUUAAAAAAUGAAACCCUCUGAUUUUAUUAUUAACAGUAAUUAUUUAUUAACAGGAAUUAAAAACAAUUAUCAUGAUUAAAUUUAACGUAGUUAUAUGAACAGCGAUCAUUUCAUCUUCCUUAUCUCACUAACAAUUUGCAAUUUGCUUACAGAGAGACCAGGUGUCGUAUGAAUGUAAAUAUAUGUAGACGUUGCUUAAAGGAACGCUCAGAAGCCAUUACAAUAUACAGAAAACGAGAGGAAUCUCAUAGUCCAAACCAGAUAGAAAGUCCAGAGUCGCAAUUCCUCAACGAAACCCGAGGAAGACUGGUUUAAAAAUACUCCGAGCAGAAAGAAUCAUACUGACGAUAUAUCCAAAUACUGCGUUGAUCUAGGGACAUUUAAGGAAACCAUUAACACACGAUGCAUGCAUUAAAUAUGAGAUGCGAUUUUUUUUCUAAAAUUCAAGAGUCUUGUUCGAGCCGUUGCAUGGUUAUAAAAAUGUUAACUCUGCAUUUCAUCAUAAAACGGUUUUGUAUGAUCCUAAGAGCUAUAUGUUGAAGAAUCCUUCUAAAUACUUAAGAUUAUCUGAAACCUAUAACAGGAACAAUGGAUAAAUGGUGUUCAACAUUUCUUUAAAACCAAACUUUAUCUAUUUCACACCUGUAUUCUUAUAGACAAGAAAAACAUUAAUUUGUUUAUUGAAUUAAAAUUCUAGUGAGAUAUAAAGAUAUCUAGACAAUGGAUUCAGCAGGGAAUCAAUUGUGAAAGCGUUUGCAUAUAUUUUAAAAGAACACACAUUUAAGAGAAUUGUUUUGAUUUUCAAAACCUUCAGAUGAUUUACUUAAUGACAACACCAUGAUAUAGGUUUAUUCUAUCCAUGUCACAUUUUACACCAUUGUAUUUCGUUAUUGCUUAUCAAUGUAUUUAUUAAAUGCAAUACAUUCUU